rnacentral:rRNA from 1 species
UUAUACCUAGGGAGGCAGCAGUGGGGGAUAUUGCACUAUGGGGGAAACCCUGAUGCAGCGACGCCGCGUGGGCGAAGAAGUAUUUCGGUAUGUAAAGCCCUAUCAGCAGGGAAGAAGAAAUGACGGUACCUGAGUAAGAAGCACCGGCUAAAUACGUGCCAGCAGCCGCGGUAAUACGUAUGGUGCAAGCGUUAUCCGGAUUUACUGGGUGUAAAGGGAGCGCAGGCGGCACGGCAAGCCUGAUGUGAAAGCCCGCGGCCCAACCGCGGGACUGCAUUGGGAACUACCGGGCUGGAGUGCCGGAG